UAACAAAACUCCUUUUCUCUAUCGUCCCUCUCAAAACCCUAGCGCCGCAGACACAUCUUCUUAAAAAAAAUCGACAUCAAACACCGAUUUCACAUCUUCAAAUACGAUUUUUCUCAACUUCAAUUGUUCAUCAUCCAUUUAAGUUUUGCAGGAUCUAACCUUCAGUGAUCUCGGUGAUGAUUUUUAGGAGGUCGAUCAAAAAUGCCGUGGUGCCAGAUACGGAAUUUUUGAUACCGGUGAUCCUGGAGAUGAUUAUAAGGAGGUUUCUGUUGUAGCCAAUUGUGAAGGUGUAGAUGGACGAUGGGUGGCGUUUGGAUUUGAGUCAGACUUGCUUUAUUUCAUACUCACCACCAGAUUUCUACACAAAGGUGGAAUAUAGAUCCAUUUUGAGCUCCAGCAAGGAGACAGUUCUCUUAUGAGGUUAUGUUCACCGGUGAGAAAGAAGGCAUUGUCAUGGGUAAGACCUUUAAAAGACCAGCAAGAUUAGAUUAGACUCUUUUUAUCAUAGGCCUCUUAUGCACCAUAUAUGAUAGAAGCAGAAGCGUUUUCAUUAAAGAAGUUACAACGAGCCAUUUAUUGAUGCAUAAAUGGAAAACUAUUGACCGGCGUGCUUAGAUCAAAACAGAUUCACUUGGAAUUCAAUGAAGAAAAGAAAACAUUACAGGAAUUGAUGACUGUGUCCAGGUCCUCUUUGAGGUGGAAAAAUAGCACGGUUGGACGAGUUAGGAUGUGGUCAAAUGGGUUAACUACAUGCUUGAAUGGUAAAGCGGUUUGGGAUUGGCAAUGGAAGCGCAUGCCCACAUUGGAAAAUGAGAAGAUGGAAUCUCAUCAGCUUAUGAAUAUGUUAAUCCAACAGCAAAUAAAGGACAAAGAAGAUAGGUUUUUAUGGGAUGGAGGUGGAGGCACAACAGAGUUCUCAUAAGGUUUUGUCCAGUUGAUGCAAAAGUAUUCAUCUCCUUUGUUGAAUUGUCAGCAGUAACUUGGAAAUGAUGGGUUCAUGGAUGAGGGAAAUUGAGCAAAGAAAAGUUGCUAAGGUUGGAGACUAAUCAUCGAAAAAAAUCAUGUUAUCCAGUUAUUAGUUAUUUACCGUUAACAGUAAUAUAUCACUUUGUUUGUAUUUAUUUUAUUUAUAAACUUAUAAUUAAUGUAAAUCAAAUUUUCCU